UACGGAGGGUGCAAGCGUUAUCCGGAAUCACUGGGUUUAAAGGGUGCGCAGGCGGAUUAACCAGUCAGAGGUGAAAGCCCCGAGCUUAACUUGGGAACUGCCUUUGAUACUGUUAAUCUUGAAUUUAGUUGAGGUGGGCGGAAUGUGACGUGUAGCGGUGAAAUGCUUAGAUAUGUCACAGAACACCGAUUGCGAAGGCAGCUCACUAAACUAAUAUUGACGCUCAGGCACGAAAGCGUGGGUAGCAAACAGG
rnacentral:misc_RNA from 1 species